rnacentral:rRNA from 1 species
GAACAUACCAAUUGUUGCCUCGGCGGAUCAGCCCGCUCCCGGUAAAACGGGACGGCCCGCCAGAGGACCCCUAAACUCUGUUUCUAUAUGUAACUUCUGAGUAAAACCAUAAAUAAAUCAAAACUUUCAACAACGGAUCUCUUGGUUCUGGCAUCGAUGAAGAACGCAGCAAAAUGCGAUAAGUAAUGUGAAUUGCAGAAUUCAGUGAAUCAUCGAAUCUUUGAACGCACAUUGCGCCCGCCAGUAUUCUGGCGGGCAUGCCUGUUCGAGCGUCAUUUCAACCCUCAAGCCCCCGGGCUUGGUGUUGGGGAUCGGCGAGCCCUCGCGGCAAGCCGGCCCCGAAAUACAGUGGCGGUCUCGCUGCAGCUUCCAUUGCGUAGUAGUAAAACCCUCGCAACUGGUACGCGGCGCGGCCAAGCCGUUAAACCCCCAACUUCUGAAUGUUGACCUCGGAUCAGGUAGGAAUACCCGCUGAACUUAAGCAUAUCAAAACCGGGAGGAAAUUUCAACUCCCAAACCCCUGUGAACAUACCAAUUGUUGCCUCGGCGGGAUCAGCCCGGCUCCCGGUAAAACGGGAACGGACCGGCCGAGGACCCCAAAACUCUGUUUCUAUAUGUAACUUUCUGAGUAAAACAUAAA